rnacentral:rRNA from 1 species
UACGAAGGGGGCUAGCGUUGUUCGGAUUUACUGGGCGUAAAGCGCACGUAGGCGGAUCGUUAAGUUAGGGGUGAAAUCCUGGAGCUCAACUCCAGAACUGCCUUUGAUACUGGCGACCUUGAGUCCGGGAGAGGUGAGUGGAACUGCGAGUGUAGAGGUGAAAUUCGUAGAUAUUCGCAAGAACACCAGUGGCGAAGGCGGCUCACUGGCCCGGUACUGACGCUGAGGUGCGAAAGCGUGGGGAGCAAACAGG